rnacentral:pre_miRNA from 1 species
CAAGUACGCCCUCUGUCCGGAAUUACUUGUCAUCAAAACGGAUGUGUCUAGAACUAAAAUACAUCUAGAUACAUCCAUUUCAAUGACAAGUAUUUCCGGAUGGUGGGAGUACAAG